rnacentral:rRNA from 1 species
CCUACGGGUGGCAGCAGUGAGGAAUAUUGGUCAAUGGCCGUAAGGCUGAACCAGCCAAGUAGCGUGAGGGAAGACUGCCCUAUGGGUUGUAAACCUCUUUUAUGCGGGGAUAAAGGUGUCCACGUGUGGAUGUUUGCAGGUACCGCAUGAAUAAGGACCGGCUAAUUCCGUGCCAGCAGCCGCGGUAAUACGGAAGGUCCGGGCGUUAUCCGGAUUUAUUGGGUUUAAAGGGAGCGUAGGCCGGUCUUUAAGCGUGCCGUGAAAUUUUGUGGCUCAACCAUGAGAGUGCGGCGCGAACUGGAGACGUUGAGUGCGCGGAAGGCAGGCGGAAUUCGUGGUGUAGCGGUGAAAUGCGUAGAUAUCAGGAGGAACAUCGGUGGCGUAAGCGCUUUACUGGGCCGUAAUUGACACUGAGGAACGAAAGCCGGGGUAGCAAAUGGGAUUAGAUACCCCUGUAGUC